UGUAUAAUGAUGAAACCCAUGCGUGUCAACUGACUCUGUAAACCCCUGGUUGUUUUGUUGCUCUGGUUGGCGUUCUGCUGGCUGGAGUCCACAGGACAGCAGGGAUCCAGAGGCAUGAUCAUACCUCACUACUGAAUACA